rnacentral:lncRNA from 1 species
GAGGUGCUGGUUGUGAGUUUUCUGAACUUGGUGGAGGAGGUGGCGAAGCAUCUUCUCUGUGUUUAGGAGGGGGUGGAGGAGGUGGCGAAGCAUCUUCUCUGUGUUUAGGAGGGGGUGGAGAUGGUGGAGAACGAGAAUCACUAGUUGGCGGUGGAGGUGGUGGAGAUGGUGGAGGAGGAGAUGAUGUAUCUGGUGGUGGAGUAUCCGAUUGAGGUGGGGGUGCAGAUGUUGAAUUCUCAGGUGGUGGUGACGCUGGUGGAGGUGGUGGAGAUGGUGGAGGAGGAGAUGAUGUAUCUGGUGGUGGAGUAUCCGAUUGAGGUGGGGGUGCAGAUGUUGAAUUCUCAGGUGGUGGUGACGCUGGUGGAGGAGGGGGGGAGCCAGAAUCUGGCGAGGGAGCAUCAGGGGUUGAAGACAUUCUUCUUUUUUUCUUUAUCUCAUGAAGAAC